CCUCUCUCUCUCUCUGCUUCCAUUUUCCCGUUUUCUUUGUUAUUAUUCUCUUUCGCUCUCAGAAUUUUCUUUCUUAGCUGUUAGGGUUUCGUUUCCUUUACUUCGAAAUCAGAAGCAGAGCUUCACUGGUUGAGGUAUAGCUAGCAGUAAUACCUUCAAUUUGAAAAUUCCGAAGUUCGUAAUUCCCUUCCUUUCUGGGUUUAAUAGUGGUGAUGAUGGUGGAAAGGAGGUUAAUGCUAUUGGCAAAGGUGAUCUAGGUUGAAUCCAUGAAAAUAUAAAGGAUCUGUUUCUAAAUUCCUUUAUGUUUUUUUUUUCCUUCCCAGUUACCCAAUGCAAAUUUUAGUGCAUUUGAAUGAGAUGGGUUGAAUGGAUGUGUAAGCUUGCUAGUAAAGUAAACUAGAAAUGGCUAUUGCUGGUCUGCAUAGCGUGUCUGUGCUCGACUCCUCUUUCUUGAGGGACUCCCAUUCCCAGUCAUCCAGGAGGGGGGGAGAUGGAAGAAGGCGAAGCACCCGGUCAUCUUCACUCUUGCGAAUGUGGCGAGAGAUUGAGGAUGAACAUGUGGAGAGUCAAGUUCAAGGAAGACCUGGUGAAGUUCUACUUGAACAAAGGAGUGAUGGGUUAAUUGUUGACCUCUCACAGGAAGAUACGCUGGAUAGCCAUGGGAGAGGGCAGGGGCAUAUGGUAGAAGAUGCAGUUUUGGGUGGGAAUGAGUCUGAAACUUGGUCACAGUCACCGAGUCAGAAUGAAUUCCAUGAUGAACAUGAAGAUUUAAACAAUUCUAGCUGUGAAAACUCUUCUGACUUGGGAGAAGUUGAAAGGGAAAGAGUGAGGAAAAUUUUCAGGGAAUGGAUGAAUAAUGGUGCUAGGGAUCAUGGAUCAAACAUUUCCCGAAGAAAUAACAGUUCAAGGAGAGAAUGGCUUGGAGAAACUGAGCAGGAAAGGGUGAGAAUUAUAAGGGAGUGGGUACAAAUGAGUAGCCAGCAGAGAAAUGUUUCUUCUGGGGAAAGUAGGGAAGAACCAUCUGCUGAAAUAGAUACACAAAUUGAACGUGUACGUGAUGGAUUAGUUGUCAAUCAGAGUGAGGGCCAGACUGAGCAUACACGGAGGGGUAUCCGAAAAUUAUGUGGCCGUCAGGUUAUGCUUGAUAUGCUUAAGAAGGCUGAGAGGGAAAGACAAAGAGAAAUUCAGGAGUUGUUGGACCAUCGGGCUGUAUCUCAUUUCCCCCAUCGAAAUCGCAUUCAGGCAUUGCUUAGAGGAAGGUUCUUGAGAAAUGAUAGAUCAGUUGAUAAUAACAGGCCCACUUCUGUUGCAGAAGGUGAAUUGGGUUUAUUGAGGCAAAGACAAACUGUAUCAGGUCUAAGGGAAGGAUUCUUCUCUAAAAGGGACAAUACUGGUUGCAUUCAAGCAACCAGUAAGCUAUCUGAUUCCUCAUCUAACAUUGAUAUUGAUUUUAAUAUGAAUGAACAAAAUGGAGCAAGCAGUUCACGUAUGGUCCCAAGUGUACAUUCUGAACAGACUGAACCUAACAACAGAGGAAGUAAUGGACUUGGGAUGUCAGGCGGCCAGAACUGUUUACAAGGAACAUGUGAGAAUUUAGAUUGGCAAGACUCUACUGCUCAUGCAGAUGGAGAUCGGUUGCAGUAUUUGCAAACUGAAUCAGUCGUCUUGCAAUCAUCAUUCAAUUUUAGUGUUGAAAGAAGGGAUGGUGCUGAGCAAAAUGUUGAUGUGAUGCCUCCCGAAGAUACUGCUGAUGAACUUUCCCAACAAAGCUUGCGAAUUGAAGAUUCAGAGCAUAGUAAUUUUCAGGAACUCAGCAGGGUACAUAAUGAGCAAUCCCAACUGGGUGAUGUAAGUCAUGGUGAAAACAAUUCAUCAAAUCAUGACAAUUGUAUGGAGGGAACUAUUGGUGGUGAUGUGAAUUGGAAUGAAUCUGGUGCUCUGGAAGAACAGCUGGAAGACGAUAUUGGAAAUGAAGGAAGCGACUGGCAUCGGAGUAACACGGAAUGGAGAAAUAGCACUGUGGAAAGUGUGGAUGAUAAUCUGCUCAGUAAUACAGCAAAUGAGUGGCCUGAAAACAGUUUGGGAAAUGAGGAUGGAGAAAACUCUCAUGUGCAAGAAGCUCCUGAGGUGUGGCAAGAAGAUCGUGGCUUCCAUGAGGCUGUGGAAAAUUGGUUGGGAGGACCUUCCAAUCAUGCAAGUGCUCCAGUUGAUAGAGUUCAUGGAUUUUAUUUUCCUGAUGAUGACAAUGUGUACAGUGUUGAACUCAGGGAACUUCUUAGUAGGAGAAGUGUCUCAAACCUCCUUCACAGCAGUUUCCGUGAUAGUCUUGACCAGUUGAUACAAUCAUAUGUUGAAAGGCAAGGUCAUGCUCACACUGAGUGGGAGCUGCAAGAAACAACCCCUUCUUCAGCCUCGGCAGAACAGGACCUUGAGCAGCAGAAUAGGGAUCAGCUUGUUGGUCAGGAGGGUACUGUUAAUAGUCCACUUGACCUGCCCUCUUUACCUAUGCCUCCUCCUCUGCCUAUUUGGGAUCAGCACUCUCAUCGUGACAACUGGCCACAGAAUGACAUAAAUAAUCACCGUCUUGGAAUUGAUUGGGAGAUUAUUAAUGACUUGAGAAUCGACAUGGCUAGAUUACAGCAAAGGAUGAAUAAUAUGCAGAGAACGCUGGAGGCCUGUAUGGAUAUGCAGCUUGAGUUGCAGCGCUCAAUAAGACAAGAAGUGUCUGCAGCCCUAAAUCGCUCUGCUGAUUCAUCAGGAAUACAUGAUUGCGAGUCACCAGAUGAUAAGUCUAAAUGGGAAUGUGUGAGAAAAGGACUGUGCUGUAUUUGCUGCGAAAGCAAUAUUGAUUCUUUGUUGUACAGAUGCGGGCACUUGUGUACAUGUUCAAAAUGUGCCGAUGAGUUGCUCGAAAGUAGAAGGAAGUGCCCAAUGUGUCAAGCGCCUGUGGUGGAGGUGAUACGUGCUUAUUGCAUACUAUGAUAUUGACAUUGAAAUUAGGUCACACUUAACAAAAUACAGGACUCUAACAAGCUUUAUCUCCUGGACGUUUCCAGGCAUAUAUGACGACCUAUCUCUGGGCAUUAUUUGUGAUUAUGGUGUUUGCUCUGAAGUGUCAAGACAUAUAUUUGGGUUGUAUGCUACCCAUAUCAAAGUCAGAUUGGUUUGGCUUUGAGUUGAUUGAGGGCUUGCCUGGCUGUUAUGAACCCAACCAAUGUUGAUGUACCAUGAAACCUGCAUCUGCAGUCUUUUGGUUAUUCAGAUAAGUAGAAGUUGCUUGACAAAUGAUGGCAUAUCACAACUAGAAAGAAUUCGUUGGAUCAAAUACUUUCUCGAAAUGUUCAUUUUGUUCUCUUUAU